ACAUCGUUGGUGAAUUGGUUAACACAAUAGAUUGUGAUUCUAUUAUUUCGUGGGUUCGAUUCCCACACGAUGUCCCA
rnacentral:tRNA from 1 species